GACGAACGCUGGCGGCGUGCCUAAUACAUGCAAGUAGAACGCUGAAGGAGGAGCUUGCUUCUCUGGAUGAGUUGCGAACGGGUGAGUAACGCGUAGGUAACCUGCCUGGUAGCGGGGGAUAACUAUUGGAAACGAUAGCUAAUACCGCAUAAGAGUAGAUGUUGCAUGACAUUUGCUUAAAAGGUGCAAUUGCCUCACUACCAGAUGGACCUGCGUUGUAUUAGCUAGUUGGUGGGGUAACGGCUCACCAAGGCGACGAUACAUAGCCGACCUGAGAGGGUGAUCGGCCACACUGGGACUGAGACACGGCCCAGACUCCUACGGGAGGCAGCAGUAGGGAAUCAUCGGCAAUGGACGGAAGUCUGACCGAGCAACGCCGCGUGAGUGAAGAAGGUUUUCGGAUCGUAAAGCUCUGUUGUAAGAGAAGAACGAGUGUGAGAGUGGAAAGUUCACACUGUGACGGUAUCUUACCAGAAAGAGACGGCUAACUACGUG
rnacentral:rRNA from 1 species